rnacentral:rRNA from 1 species
GAUGAACGCUGGCGGCGUGCUUAACACAUGCAAGUCGAACGGUGAAGCUCAGCUUGCUGGGUGGAUCAGUGGCGAACGGGUGAGUAACACGUGAGCAACCUGCCCUUAGCUCUGGGAUAAGCGAUGGAAACGUCGUCUAAUACCGGAUACGACACGGGACGGCAUCAUCACCGUGUGGAAAGAAUUUCGGCUAAGGAUGGGCCCGCGGCCUAUCAGCUUGUUGGUGGGGUAAUGGCCUACCAAGGCUUCGACGGGUAACCGGCCUGAGAGGGCGACCGGUCACACUGGGACUGAGACACGGCCCAGACUCCUACGGGAGGCAGCAGUGGGGAAUAUUGCACAAUGGGCGAAAGCCUGAUGCAGCGACGCCGCGUGAGGGAUGACGGCCUUCGGGUUGUAAACCUCUUUCAGCAGGGACGAAGCGAAAGUGACGGUACCUGCAGAAGAAGCGCCGGCCAACUACGUGCCAGCAGCCGCGGUAAGAC